GAUGACUGUUGGCUAGGCCAGGAGUUGAGGGGCAGCCACCGCUCCAGAAAGGAAAUCCGAGCUAAUAGGAAACAGAAAGCUAUAGGAAGUCCUUCAGGGGGCAGGGGCGGGGGUAGGGAAGCCCAGCAAAGGCAGGAGGUGGCGAGAGGACUAUCUGAAGAAGGGUCUUGCUGAAAGAUAAAAUGGAUCCCCAAGUGGGAACGCAGCCGCAGAUGUGGACAACCUUGAUGGAGCAGCCUUGUGACUUAAGGGCGGGAUGAGACCGGGUCAGCAGAUUGCUGAGUCCUAGGGACGGAUGGAACAAGAGCGCUGAAGAACACAGACGUGGAAACCCAGGAAGAUUUCAGAGGAAGGAGACCGGGAAGACAGCGGAGAGCUCGGCUAGGAUGUAGACGGAAUGGGACACGGGAGCCGCGCAAAGGGGACCGCACAGGAAGUGAACCUGUGCAGCAGUCCCCAAAUGCCUAACACACCACGUGACCCAGGUGCUGUAGGCAGCAGAGUGUGCCCCGUCUGUUCUGGCGAUUUCUAUCAAGCUCCUCCCUCCCUGGCUCCUCCUCCUCAGCCUCUAGCAACCGAUACUCAUUAUUACACAUUCAGGUAGAUUCUUUAGAACUUCUACGUUGACGCAUGCGUAUUAUACUUUUUGUUCUGCCUGGGAGAUAGGUGCUACGCACUCCAAGUGAGGAGACGUGUAAGACAGGGAACUGUAAAUGAUCCUGCUUUGAUGGGUGCACCCCGUACUCCUCACACGGACUCCUACUGAUGGGCACAGCCAUCGCAUGCCAGUAAGAAGUAAGACUGAGGUCGACAAAAAGGCCUCUGGAGGACUUGCCUGUGAAGAAAUAAAAAAUGUACGCCAAGGGUUUGUUCUGAUUUGAACAUUGCGUCGCGGGCACAUACGGAUGCCUCACAAUUUUUACAAGGCAAUUAAAAAAAGGUGAAGUCACAAUGAAAGCAAAAAGAAAAGAACCACAGCAAAGGCAGACUAGACUAGGAGCAGGGACGAAGGGAGCAGGAGUCACCACCAGGAACAGAGGCGAGAAGCCAAGGUAAAGACUGGAGGUCAGGAAGGCAGGGAAGAAAAGAAGGCUGGAAUUCUGUCAGUUAUCAACCCAGCUAAUGUAAGCUCUUUCUAGUGUUAGCCUUUCGAAAGGCUCUUUGUCAUGGGAAAGCUAAAUCAAUUGUUUUUGGAGGACAUUUUAUAUAUUCAGAACCGUCCUAGGUCUCUGUCUCCUCUGAAAGCCAUGAGAAAUUAACAGACUGGAAAUUAAGCACACAGAAAAAAAAAAAAAAAAGGUUUCCACUCGAUUACCCUGCUCCACCAUACCUCCACUAGCAUUUCCCCUGUAAAACAAACACAUUGAUUCUGCUUAAUUAGCAAGUCCCACGUUUACUGAAUAAGUAAAACGCAGAGUUGGGGGAAUGCUGGCUCAUUCUAAAAGCUGCAUGAAUUUUUGAUUGCAUAACUACCUGGCCCCACAUAAUUUGUUACUAGCUGAAUUUUAUUUGAGACUGCAUUUUUGAAAAGAUUUGAAAAGCACACAAUUUUUCAUUGUUAGCUUGCUGGUUAAUUAUUAGCGUCCUAGUUUUGUGUCUUGGGUUCGAGUGGAAGGUGUUCUGAACGCCUCUACUGUAGCUGGCUGUGCUUCCUCACGUGCCCCUGCAGCGGGAUAUGCAGAGUUAGCGCCUCUGGAGGACACACACCUGGGAAUGCUUUGACUUUGGGGGUCCCAGCUCACUCACCCCAAGCAGGCUCUGUUUUUGCCUCAAGCGAGCAGACCUAUUUUUCCAUUACUGGCGAGAAAGAAUUUCAAGAGGACUGGAUUGAAGUACAAUUGAUUUUCACAGCUAGGCACAGCAUGGAUGCCGUUGUGUGAAAUUAAAAUGUAGUUGGAGACGCUUUUCUGUAGUCUUAGCAAAGAAGUUAAAUGACCCAUAGUUUGGAAAGCACCUCCUUAAGGCCUAGGUGCAACUUGGCCACUAGGGGGCACUCAAACACUGCUCACUGCAGAAUGGAGCCAGGGCUGGGCUUCGUAUAUUGAUCAGAUUUAUUAAAGAAUAGCAAAAGACUUGAGGAUAUAGCCGUUGGAAGUUGUCAAGCAGGGUUCUCCGUACUUGAUACUUUAAUUUUCUACCUAAGUGAACCGUUUGAGUUUAACUGUUUUGAGUUAACACUGAUUCUAUCCAUUCACUAAAAGUCUUCUUAGGGUGGUUUAGGGCCAGUUAGCAACGAUCCAGAGUGAAUUAAUUAAUGAUACAUUGCAGACAUCAUGAGAGGUGUCAGGAUGUGUUGGCUGUCAUUGUCGGCUAAUGUAUCAAGACAGUAAAUAUCAUUUACUUCUUAAGCCCUUGAGUGACCGUGGUCCAAAGAGAAAACAAUCAAUUGUGUGCCUUUAACUGCCGUAAAAAAUGACCGACCCAGACUUAACCACAGAAAGCAAUUUUUACUCUAAGGAAAAAAAAAUAAUAAUGGCCUUUGUUCGGUCAUAACGAAGAGCAUUACUAUUUUAACUGUCAAGAACUGUAUGAGAAGACGCGAAAGCUUUGUGCUGACUUCUUAUGCACACUUCUGAAGUGAAUUAUUGUAAAUGUAAUGGUUCAAAAUGAGAGAAAGUGGCGCAAACUUAGAAAAUAAAACAGAGAGGAGAAUUGGAAUUAAUCAAUGAACUAUUUUUAAGGUUCAAGGUAUAAAUCUGAAAUCAGGCACUGCAAAAAAUCCAGUGAUCUUUUUAAAUUUUUUUUUCUCUUCCUCUCCCACUUCUCUGAGCCCGGUGCGCUACAAGAAACCUUGCACUGUCACUUCGAAGUGAUUUGGGGGUCAGAAGGGCCAGUGCAGGCCUCCUCAAGGGCACAGAGUGAUUAAUUUGGUGAGUGGUGGUUAGAAUUUGCAGCAUCUUUUAAAAGAGCCCGCGGACUCUUUAAAUCACUCGUUCUUAACCAGCCUCCAAAAUUGAAAAGGCUUCUGCCUUUAGAUCUUCAAUCGAAUCCUGUUUCUAAAGCCGUGGUUUCCUGAGAGAAGGAUUUAUCAAUUCUCUUUAGAAUGCAGAAGUUAGAACACUAAAUCGAAACUGGACUGGGUACCUCAGGGUGGGUAAGGCCUUUGCUACAAAGUUUCAGUGUUCUUACAAGUUCAAAAGAAAAGUCUAAACGUUAAAAAUCUUUUGGAGGCUAAUGAUAAUUUCAAGUUCUAAUAUUUGGUCUGGAAAGUUUGACAGAACAGCUAUGAAGUAACUGAAUACAUUUUGAACCAAAGCAAUACUGAGUUUGUUCCUGUGCCCUGGGAAGAGACGAGAAGCAUCUAAACUUGUGGCAAAAUUAGGUUUUUACUUUAGUUGUUCACAGCACUAAAGUAUGAAAGUCACCGACGGGGAAGUGAGCACGUCACACCAACUUUCUAAAUCCCAGAGCAGGGAACUGGGGCGGAUGGAGAAAAGCCCAAACUUUUGCAAAUGAGCGACACAUCUCUUCACCUGAACAUUGUGACCGCUAAGCUGAAAGGUCUGAAUGCUGAAUAGGUUUGCUGAACACAGUUGCCAAGUCAACAAGAAAACCACGCACGGCUUCUGAAAAUCUGUCCAGUGCUCUGAGCAGAGGGCCCCGCAGGCUUCUUUGUGUUCUCAUCUGUGUUUUCUGGCCCUUUCUUGGGGGUUACAAUUCAUUUCUUCCUGAACAUCAGACUCACAGUUGAGAAUAUUCGUUGGAAACUGCACUGAAGUGCUUCGGACUCCGGCAGACCUCCAGCCCAUGGGCAAACGAUUUUCCUGACUCAUCUGGUUCUGAUGCCCUCCGUAUGAGUGUGGGUUUGGCAAAAGCUCCUGAAGCCUCCGUUGUGAUUUUAUUUCUAGGAUUAUUCCUCUAAAGAAGGAUUGCAGGUGAGCUGUGGGGAUGCAGGCAUGGAGUGUUGUAGGUCAAUAAAUCAUUGAAGAUGGUGGGGAUAACCUGCAGGUGAUAACACCUGACACUCCACAGUUACAGCAUGUGACCCUUAACCCCUGACCUCUUCUGGGUCAAAAGUAGGGCUUUUGGCUCCUUCUGUUUGUUUGUUUCUCCUCUUCCUUCUAGAACUCUGUGGAGUACACAGAACACCCUUGGGAAAUAUCUGCUACCAAGUGGAUGAAGUGGUGUUUUCCACGUCACCCAUCUCAAAUAUCCUUAUUUCUGUUCGUCUCUUACCAUUUUUAUUCUUAUUUUUUUUUUAAGAUUUAUUUAUUGUAUGUGAGUACACUGUAGCUGUCUUCAGACACACCAGAAGAGGGCAUCAGAUCCCAUAUACAGAUGGUUGUGAGCCACCAUGUGGUUGCUGGGAAUUGAACUCAGGACCUUUGGAAGAGCAGUCAGUGCUCUUAACCGCUGAGCCAUCUCUCCAGCCCUUUUUUUUUUUUUCUUUUUUUCGGAGCUGGGGACCGAACCCAGGGCCUUGAGCUUGCUAGGCAAGCUCUCUACCACUGAGCUAAAUCCCCAACCCCUUAUUUUUUUUAUAAUUUACUUUUCCCACAUUGAAAUGAAGAAGCCGGGGGUUGGGGAUUUAGCUCAGUGGUAGAGCGCUUGCCUAGGAAGUGCAAGGCCCUGGGUUCGGUCCCCAGCUCCGAAAAAAAAAAAAAAAAAAAAAAAACCAAAAAAAAAAAAACAAAAAAGAAAUGAAGAAGCCACAUGAUGCAACCCGAUGGAACUUGAAGACCUUAAUUAAUCAAAGCAUCCACAAUUCUUUGCUAGGGCACGAGUAAAUAGAUAAAUUUAGUGCCUUAAAGUUCUCAGGAAAUAACCACCUAUUUUUAACCCUUGGUUAAUUCUUUUCUCUAAUAUUUCAAGUCCUUGAUAUAAACAUAUUUUUUAUUCCUUAUAAUUAACUGAUGAGAAACGUUUCUUUUAAUUGCCUUAUAAUUAGUCAACACCAUUAACCGUUCCAGGGGAUCUGACGCCCUCUUCUGGUCUCCAAGGACACUACACAGAUAUAAUGCAAAUACCUACAGUCAGGCAGAUACUUUUUUUAUAUUUAUUUAUUUUAUGUUUGUGAAUACACUGUCGCUGUCUUCAGACACACCAGAAGAGGGCAUCAGAUCUCAUUACAGAUGGUUGUGAGCCACCAUGUGGUUGCUGGGAUUUGAACUCAGGACCUCUGGAAGAGCAGUCAGUGCUUUUAACCACUGAGUUACCUCUCCAGCCCCCAAAUGGAUAAUUAAACAUUAUUUUAAAUGCUUAUUUUAAAUAGCUCAUGAGCAAUGAGGAUGGGGGGCAUUUCAGCGCCAGACAGAAUACUAAAGAAUCCUGACCGGCCAGUACCGUUUUAUUGAGUGAGAUCUGUUAUCAGAAAUGAGAGUGGCUCCUUUAAGUCCAGUGUGGAGCGGAUGGGCGAUACUCCGUGCUGACCACCUUCUCCUCCUGGCACCUUCACUCAUGUCUAUGUAGGACCCUUGUUGAUUAGAGUCCGGAUUUCAGGGACAUCAAAGUUCACAUAGUUGUUUUUGAUCCAUUGAGUCAUCGUGAGCAGUGAGUUUGGAAAAGAAAACGGUUCUGAAGAGGAAGAUCUCAAAGUACCAUCAAGAUUACAGAGAAAAGGAGACAAACCUCUCUGGGGGUUUGAGAAGAGAAAGCAGGGCUCCGGAGACCAAAGGAGCCCAAUUGAAUCAGCACCAUUUUCCCCCAGAGUGGAAAUGUUAAAGAAGCCAACUGGGAAGGACAACUGCUUACCACUGCUGCUUCGGAAUUUGGAACUCGGAUCACUGCAAUAGAGUUGAAUUUGGCCACCCCUCAGUUCACAGGGAUGCGGGAGGCUAUGUCAGAUGUGGUUUCUUGGGAGGUUCUAAGAUUAUAAAAAACACACAAAAUAAACUUCCCCGGGGUCUUGGACUUCUUAGGAAGAUAAGAGAGCUGAACGAAGGGGAGGACAUUCUGGAAACUUUGCCAGAGGAAAUUGCUCCUCCUCAGUAGUUAUGGACAAGAUUCUGACCACCAGCUGCACUCUUUCGGGUUUUGGUCACAACCCCAAGCUCACGCAGCUAGGCUCGGCAGAGAACCUAUCUGUCCAGCUUACACUGAUCCUAAGCAAACUGUGUCGCAUGGUCUUUUCCUUUGAGCUGACCCUCUCCAGGAAGCUUCAAUCACGAGUACCAAGAAAUGUCCGUUUACUUAUUGUCUUAGUCAGGGUUUCUAUUCCUGCACAAAACAUCAUGACCAAGAAGCAAGUUGGGGAGGAAAGGGUUUAUUCAGCUCACACUUCCACACUGCUGUUCAUCACCAAAGGAAGUCAGGACUGGAACUCAAGCAGGUCAGGAAGCAGGAGCUGAUGCAGAGGCCAUGGAGGGAUGUUACUCACUGGCUUGCUCCCCCUGGCUUGCUCAGCUUGCUUUCUUAUAGAACCCAAGACCACCAGUCUACGGAUCGCACCACCACAGUGGGCGGGGCCCUCCCACCCUUGAUCACUAAUUGAGAAAAUGCCUCACAGCUGGGCCUCAUGGAGGCAUUUCCUCAGUGGAGGCUCCUUUCUCUGUGCUAACUCCAGCCUGGUAAGAGUAGGCCACUGGAUUUAUUGUUUGGUUUUGGUUCCAUGUCAGUCAGCCACACUAGGAGCCUAUGUCCCUUGUUAAAAAGUUGCACCAGGGGCUGGGGAUUUAGCUCAGUGGUAGAGCGCUUGCCUAGCAAACGCAAGGCCCUGGGUUCGGUCCCCAGCUCCGGAAAAUAGAAAAAAGGAAAAAGAAAAAAAAGUUGCACCAGAGAAAUGGAAUUGCCUGUUGAGACAAUUGUGGAAGACACAUUAUACAGCCCUGAGCUGGACUCCAGGUAACAUUGUUUCUCUGCCUCCUUUGAAGGAAAAUGCCAGGAUGCAGUCUCUGAGGGGUGAGUGGGACACUGAGCUAUUUCUUAGAAGGAAUUUACUGUAACUUUGAAAGAAAUGGAACAUUGUGAUAUAGACUAUUUUUCCUCCAUUCCCACAAGUUGCAGAUCCAGAAAAGCGCAAAACCUAGCUGAUAAACUUGUCAAAUAAAUCAAUUACCCAGAAACAUGUAUUUAUAUAUGUAGUUAAAACGCUAUAUUGAUAAGGAUUUAUUACAUCAUAAAUUAUAAGAAACCUUCAGAAUCCCCUGAGCCCUGUUCAAUAAAUGAAUGUUUUCUUUGAAAAUUUCAUUAUAUAAAACAUAUAUAUUGUUUAAUGGUACACAGUGACUAUUUUUUUUUUUUUUUUUGGUUCUUUUUUUCGGAGCUGGGGACCGAACCCAGGGCUUUGCGCUUCCUAGGUAAGCGCUCUACCACGGAGCUAAAUCCCCAACCCCGACUAUUUUUUUUUUAAUUUUUAUUGUAGUUUAUGUGUAUGGGUGUCUUGCUUGCCUAUAUGUCUGUGCAGCACCUGGAGGCCAGAAGGGAACAUCAGAUUCCCUGGGACUGUAGUUACAGAGCAUUGUGAGCAGCCAGUGUGGAAGUUGGGGUUUGAACUCUGGUCUCUUGUAAGAGCAGCCAGCAUUCCUAACUGCUUACCCACCUCUGCCGUCCCCACCAUGGCUCUAUAAUCUGGCUUGCCCCGUGCAUCUUUCUGUUCUGGCAUAUUUGUGUUUAGGCACAAUUUCUCAGCAAUGUUGAAGGAAACACGGUUUUCCUCAGAUGGGACACUGGAUUCAAAUGAGCUGCUUCAGUAGCACAGUUUCUCAGGCUGUCUUUCCUUUGUUGGUGGUUAGCAGUACAGUUGUGGGAAGAGGUUCUUUGCAUAGAAGCCACUGGCAGUUCAACGGAAGUGACGUGAGAUGCCCAUGACUUAUUUGGUGUUAUUUUAGGUCACGCCAUUGCCUUUAAGUUUAGCAGGAUUUAAGUGUGUGCUUCGCAUCCUCAGUUCUUUGAUAGCGUUUGGUACCGAGGAAGGUCACACCUAUGUUCUUUGUAUUAUUCCGAGAAUCACUGCUGCUUGUCUUUUUUCUUUUUCUUUUUCGUUUUCUUUUUUUCAAUUUUGUCAUUUUUGUCCCAAGCAGGUAUUUUUAACUGAAAAUAUACUGUUAAGAUAGAUUUUUGAACCCUUGCCCUUCCCAGCACGUGAGCUCAAACUCAAUCUUUUGUUUAAGGUCAAGUCCAUGUUCACGGCUGGCAAUUCUGUGAAGCUUACUAGGGUAAGCUCUUAAGAUUCUAGAAUGCUUAGCUGUGUGUGUUAUGAAACUACUGCCGAUGCCACUGGGCUUUACCAAGAAAUAACAAUCCCCCCGUUUUCUGUCUCUGGUGACUUUUCAAUUAUUAUUUUUUCUUUUUUUUUCAGAGCUGGGGACCAAACCCAGGGCUUUGCGCUUGCUAGGCAAGUGCUCUACCACUGAGCUAAAUCCCCAACCCCCAAUUAUUAUUUUUUAAUGAAAGAAUUUAUUAUAAAUGAACCUAGAAAAACCAUCACCAGUCAUUUAAAAAAAAAUUUAACUUCCAAAGAGAGAGAAACGGCUUAAGAAAAACAACAUCCCUCUUCUAAACACAUGGCACAAACCAAAACCAGUUACGGCCUAAUUAAGUUAACUGUGAUGAGAAAGGGCUCUCUCACGUGUCAUCGUAGCAUGAUAGCCUACCCUUGGGCUGUCCUUACUGAAGCGUGACAGAAAAUGUGUCACACUCUCGAUUGUAUAGAUGAGGUCACUUCCAUAAAACAAAUAAGCCCUGUCGAGUGACUUGUGCCACAUGAAAUAGUCCCCCUGGGGCAGAGUUACCUAUUUCAAGUCCAGCCUCCGCACCCCCCCAUCCCGCCCAUGGCUCCGCCCCGCCCCCACCUCUCCAUCAAGUCUGCUGUGUUAGUGUUUUUUCUGCAAGCUUGAGUCAUCUGGGAGAGGGAGCCUCAGAUGAGAGCACGCCUCCAUCAGAUUCACUUGUAAGCAUGCCCGUGGGAGCAUUUCCUUGAUUAAUGAUUAAUUGCGGGGUGGAGGAGCCCACUGUGGGCUGUGUCACCCCUGGGCAGGCGGUCCUUGGUUGAAUUUGAAAGCAGGCUGAACAAGACACAGAGAGCAAGCCAGCAAGUAGCAUUCCUCCAUGGCCUCUGCUGGCGUUCCUGCCUUGGCUUCCCUCAACGAUGGGCUGUAACCCAUAAGCCAGAUGAACCCUAACCUCCCCAGUUGCUCUUGGUCACGCAUUCACCACAGCAACCGAAGGAAACUGGGACAGUUACUAAAUGCACACCAGCUUUUGUCUGCUCCGUCUUCCGCAUAGGUGGAAUCCUGCAGCUCCACUGUGAGUAGCCUCCUGAGGCACUCUCACAUCAGCAACACUCCUCCACAGCGCACGCAGGAAACCCCAAGUCAUCACUGGUUUCUGCCCAAGAUCGAGUCGAGACCUAUCCAUCACUCAGCACAGACAACCAUCUGGUCUGGUCAGCCCAUAGCAGCUGAGCAGAACCACGACGUGAGGAUGCCUGUGGAUGCUUCUCACAACGAGUUCCUCUGUGCGCUCCAGUUGGGAGUGGACUCAUCGGAACACAGGCAUCUGCAUGUCCAGCAGCACAGACAUUGACAAACCUCUCCAGAGAAUGUCCUCUCUCCUCCAUUUGUGGAGUUUGUCCAGAGAUAGUUUGCCAGGGCUCCUUGGGUGUCCUGUCUGUUAUUUCCCGGGUCCUGUUGAAAUAUGGAUCAGUACUAUGCAAUUUGACAAUUAUUCAAGUGUUUUUUUUCCUUGUUUAUAGUAAUUUUUUCGGACUUGGAAAAGUUUGCUGUUGUUAAAUGCCUGGAAAUCUCCCCGGCUUUGGGGAGACCAGGAAGGCAAAUGAGCAACAUCAAACCAUUGUCUCAAAGUGUCACCCCAGUCGUUUUUUGUUUUUUGUUUUUUGUUUUUUGGUUUUUUUUUUUUGUUCUUUUUUUCGGAGCUGGGGACCGAACCCAGGGCCUUGCGCUUCCUAGGUAAGCGCUCUAACCACUGAGCUAAAUCCCCAGCCCCCACCCCAGUCGUUUUAACUUAUACAAAUGCUGCUGCUGCUGCUGUUGCUCUCCCAUUUGCAUAGUUUCCUUAGGAUCCAGUUCACUUCAGGCUUGCAAGGAGAUUGAUGCAUUUAACAGGUCUCCUGAUACAUAAUUCCAAUUUGCUUUUCUAAGGGUUGGAGUGAAUUUGCAUUUUUUAAAAAAAGACUUGUUUUCUCUGUGUCUCUUUGUGUCUUCCUGUGUUCCUCUCCCUCCCUCUCCUUUCUUCUUCCUUCCCUCCCUCCCUCCCCAACCCUCCGUCUCUCCAAGACAAGGUUUCUCCAGGUACCUUGGCUGUCCUGGAACUCUGUAGACCAGGCUGUCCGCAACUCAGAGUUCUGCUUGCCUCUACCUCCUAAGUGCUGUGAUUAAAGACAUGUGCCACCAUG